CAGGAAUGGAAUUUCUCCCUUGCUGCCUUGUUCGGAUUGUCAGACCUCCCACUCUCUGGAUGUCAGAAACUGCAAGGUAGCAACAGCAGAGGAAGGCAGGGGAGGGCAGAACAGAGAGGGUCUUUUUGUUGAGCUCAUUCUGGACCUCUCAGCCUUCUAGACCCAUGCCAUUGUAGUGAGGUGAGAACAGCUUGACAUGAGCCUUCUGAAAAUCAUGCUGGAACAGCAUCCCUCAGCCUUGCUGUUCACAGGUGAUGAUCCCGAGCAAGCUGGGUGUUACAGCGCCAGAACCCUUUAUGGGCUGAUGACUGUAAACCUGAGAGGCUCAUGGGUCCACCAGUGUAUGGCAGACAGUACCACAGAGCUGUGAAAUAGAUACGACAUGUGAACAGGUACUCUCUUCAGAGCCUGCAGAAUUCUGCUGCGAAGGUCCUAGAGAGAUCACAAAGCCCAACAGCUUGAUUUGCAAAAGGAGCUGUUAUUAUUUAUCUAGUUUAAUAGACACUGCUUUAUCUGUGUUCUGGUUCCUAAAUAUCACUGGAAUCCAAGAGUUUUUCUUUAGAACAAUUAAGGCAAUCAGAAGUAUUUAUUUAAAGCAUUGAAUCACUUAAAGAAACAAGUGGAAUACUACUAAAAUAUAAAAUAAUUUUCCAGUGAAGUUUGAUAUGUCUGUAAACAUUUUAGAUGUAAUUUUCUUCUGAUUCAUUUUUGAGUCCACUGAGUAUCCAAAUAUCAAGUUUACUCUCAAUUUCCACCUGGGAAGCAAGUACUGUAAAUUGGGCUACAAGUGAAAAACUGAUUGCUUUGUGUAAUUUAAUUUAUACCAUUCUAACAUAUGUCAGAACACCACUGUGUUGUGGAGUGCAAUAAAAGGCUGACAUGUUAAUAUUCUUUUAAGAAAAUCCACACUCACUUGUCAUCUCCAGAUUUUACACGCCCAUAUUGUGUAAACAUGGGUUACAGCUGAGUAUUAGAGCCAUGCAGGGCAGGCACAAGAAUCCCUGAGGGCACCUCUGAUCUGAAUGUUAAAUUGGCUUUAUUGAAAUAUGUCUU